AGUGAACGCUGGCGGUGUGCUUAACACAUGCAAGUCGAACGAGAACGGAAUAUAGCUUGCUAUAUUUGUCAGCUAAGUGGCGCACGGGUGAGUAAUAUAUAGAUAACCUGCCCUUAAGAAAGGAAUAACAGUUGGAAACGACUGCUAAUGCCCUAUAUGCCUUUAAUACAUAAGUAUGCAAGGGAAACGCUUUAGUGCUUAAGGAUGGGUCUGUAUGGUAUCAGCUUGUUGGUGAGGUAAUGGCUCACCAAGGCUAUGACGCCUAACUGGUUUGAGAGGAUGAUCAGUCACACUGGGACUGAGACACGGUCCAGACUCCUACGGGAGGCAGCAGUGGGGAAUAUUGCACAAUGGACGAAAGUCUGAUGCAGCAACGCCGCGUGGAGGAUGACACAUUUCGGUGCGUAAACUCCUUUUAUAUAGGAAGAUAAUGACGGUACUAUAUGAAUAAGCACCGGCUAACUCCGUGCCAGCAGCCGCCGUAACAC
rnacentral:rRNA from 1 species